AUUCAGCGGCGGACGGGUGAGUAAUGCCUAGGAAUCUGCCUGGUAGUGGGGGACAACGUUUCGAAAGGAACGCUAAUACCGAAUACGUCCUACGGGAGAAAGUGGGGGAUCUUCGGGCCUUGCGCUAAUAGAUGAGCCUAGGUCGGAUUAGCUAGUUGGUGGGGUAAUGGCCCACCAAGGCGACGAUCCGUAACUGGUCUGAGAGGAUGAUCAGUCACACUGGAACUGAGACACGGUCCAGACUCCUACGGGAGGCAGCAGUGGGGAAUAUUGGACAAUGGGCGAAAGCCUGAUCCAGCCAUGCCGCGUGUGUGAAGAAGGUCUUCGGAUUGUAAAGCACUUUAAGUUGGGAGGAAGGGUAGUAAGUUAAUACUCUGCAAUUUUGACGUUACCGACAGAAUAAGCACCGGCUAACUUCGUGCCAGCAGCCGCGGUAAUACGAAGGGUGCAAGCGUUAAUCGGAAUUACUGGGCGUAAAGCGCGCGUAGGUGGUUCAGCAAGUUGGAUGUGAAAGCCCCGGGCUCAACCUGGGAACUGCAUCCAAAACUGGCAAGCUAGAGUACGGUAGAGGGUGGUGGAAUUUCCUGUGUAGCGGUGAAAUGCGUAGAUAUAGGAAGGAACACCAGUGGCGAAGGCGACCACCUGGACUGAUACUGACACUGAGGUGCGAAAGCGUGGGGAGCAAACAGGAUUAGAUACCCUGGUAGUCCACGCCGUAAACGAUGUCGACUAGCCGUUGGGAUCAGCUAACG
rnacentral:rRNA from 1 species